rnacentral:rRNA from 1 species
AAAUUGAAGAGUUUGAUCAUGGCUCAGAUUGAACGCUGGCGGCAGGCCUAACACAUGCAAGUCGAACGGUAACAGGAAGCAGCUUGCUGCUUCGCUGACGAGUGGCGGACGGGUGAGUAAUGUCUGGGAAACUGCCUGAUGGAGGGGGAUAACUACUGGAAACGGUAGCUAAUACCGCAUAACGUCGCAAGACCAAAGAGGGGGACCUUCGGGCCUCUUGCCAUCGGAUGUGCCCAGAUGGGAUUAGCUUGUUGGUGGGGUAACGGCUCACCAAGGCGACGAUCCCUAGCUGGUCUGAGAGGAUGACCAGCCACACUGGAACUGAGACACGGUCCA